rnacentral:tRNA from 1 species
GGGGCAUAGCUCAGCUGGUAGAGCGCCUGCUUUGCAAGCAGGAUGUCAGGAGUUCGAGUCUCCUUGCCUCC